GAUGAACGCUGGCGGCGUGCCUAAUACAUGCAAGUCGAACGGACAGGCGAUGAUCUUGCGGGGUGCUCGAGAGGCGAAGGGGUGAGAGAAACGCGAGUAAAAUCCACUUGUCAUUGGGAUAACAUCAGGGAAAUGGGGCUAAUAUCGGAUAUGAGAUACUGCAGCAUGGUGGGGGAUGGAAAGAUUCGGCGGUUUGGGAUGGACUCGCGGCUUAUCAGCUUGUUGGUGGGGUAGUCGCUUUCCAAGGCUAAGACGGGUAGCCGGCCUGGGAGGGUUGCCGGCCACAAUACUACUGAGAUACGCCCCAGUCUCCUACGGGAGGCAGCAGGGGAGAAUAUUACACAGUGAGCGGAAGCCAGAUGUAGCGGCGCCGCGUGCGUGAUGAUCUCUUACUAGUGGUAAACCGCUUUCUCCGGAGACGAAGCGGGAUUGACGGUAAUGGGUAAAGAAGCACCGGCUAACUACGUG
rnacentral:rRNA from 1 species